ensembl:lncRNA
UAGGCAUCGGUGAUUAACUGUGCUGUAGGUAUCGGUGAUUAACUGUGCUGUAGGCAUCGGUGAUUAACUGUGCUGUAGGCAUCGGUGAUUAACUGUGCUGUAGGUAUCUGAGAUUAACUGUGCUGUAGGUAUCGGUGAUUAACUGUGCUGUAGGCAUCGGUGAUUAACUGUGCUGUAGGCAUCGGUGAUUAACUGUGCUGUAGGUAUCGGUGAUUAACUGUGCUGUAGGUAUCGGUGAUUAACUGUGCUGUAGGUAUCUGAGAUUAACUGUGCUGAUUGGUUAAUUGCAGCAUGAUGGAAGUCAGAUGGUUGGGUCUGGGCGGAGUUAAUCAUAUCCUACACAAAACUAGAACAUCUCCAUUCUAAUUUCAUCAACACUUCUCUCUCUCUCUCUCUCUCACACACACACACACACACACACACGUAGUAGCAGUCUCUGUUAUUCACAAUUCCAUAGUGGACAAACUUGACAAGACACUUACAGACCAUCACUAAUUAAAUUAAUGACUUUUCUUUGUUCUGAUUUGAUGUGUAAUAUUUUAAUUCCGAGUGGUGGAGUGGUGGAGGAGGAGUGGUGGGGGAGUGGUGGUUGGGGGAGUGGUG